rnacentral:misc_RNA from 1 species
CCCGAACUCCCUCGGCAUCAGCGCAGUAGCGGCUCGCAGAGCUCUAUCACUCUCGAGCAAUAAUGGUCUCUUGCUUCAUCUUCUUCUUUCUUAUGUGUUAUAUUUGUGCUCUUUCUCUCUCUGCUUUGUAUUUGGACGUGAAUUGUUGUUUUCAUUUCUCAGGGGAUCGAUCUGAAAGCAGGAGGUAAGAGCAAGAAGACCAAGCGGACAGCCCCCAAAUCCGAUGAUAUCUACCUCAAGCUCCUCGUCAAGGUACAGAUUUUGAGUCUCUCUGUAUAUGUGAAUUCUGAAUACCCAUUUUUAUAAAAAUCUUUUCUUUGAUUGUUUGAUUGAUAAUCAGCUAUACCGGUUUCUGGUAAGGAGAACUGGUAGUAAGUUCAACGCGGUGAUCUUGAAGAGGCUGUUCAUGAGCAAGGUGAACAAGCCCCCCCCUUUCUCUUUCUAGGCUCAUCACCUUCAUGAAAGGAAAGGAGAAUAAGAUUGCAGUGGUUGUGGGAACAGUGACUGAUGAUAUUAGGGUUUAUGAGGUUCCAGAAUUGAAGGUUACUGCUUUGAGGUUCACAGAGACUGCAAGAGCCAGGAUUGAGAAAGCUGGGGGAGAGUGCCUGACAUUUGACCAGCUUGCUUUGAGAGCUCCUUUGGGACAGAACACGGUAUGCACAGAUGUACUCCUUUUCUUUUUUGGUUUUUUUAUAUGUUUUGGAAGCAUCUGUAUUCUUUCAAGUUAUAGAAUUAGUUUGGUUUGCUGGGUUUGAUUUGGAUCUUAGAAUGCUAUUUGAGUUUAUUGAUGCUUUUUGCAUUGUCUUGGAACGCCAAUAUUUCAAAAUUGGUGUCUCCCUGUGUUUUUAACAUGAAUGGGGGACUAUCGAGCAGUGUUAGUCCUACAGACAUGCCUGUAAUGAUUUGCAGUGACAAUCGCAACACUUUAUAUGAAUAUCCAAGGAGAGUAAUGUCUAGGUUCCUGUGUGCUACUGUACUGUUACUUUUGAACUGAUUUCUCUUCUUUUUUGGUCAUGAUUGCAUAACUUCCAUGCAAUGUCAAGUUGAUCAUAUUGUAUGGUAUGUAUGUGUUGGAUUGUUAGUAAUCUUUGCUUCCUGAUCCAGAGAAGUUGUAUAACAAUACCUUCCAUGUUUCUGCUUAUGAUUAAUGAUGAAUGAUGAAUGAUGAAUGAUGAGUGAUUCAGGUUGGAGAAUUAAUGCUCAAGUCCUGAAAUUGUGUCGACUUCAUUGUUUUUGAGCAUUCUAUAAUAAGUGGUGGAUAGCAAAAUUCUUCUUUAAGCAAUUGUUUUCUGGAAAAAAAUUCAUAUCUUGCUGGUAUCUACAUAUGACAAUGAACUUGUUGAAUGAUAUUUCUCUCUGCUUAUAUUUACCUUUGAUUGUCUUCCUUUGCCGUGAAUAAUUAUAUCAUCUUAGGUGCAGCAUUAAACUUGUGUAUUUGGGCUGGAUGAAUUUUUAUUCACUAUCAUGAGUUUCUUCUUAUUGUGUUAUAGCUUAUUGUUUUUAUUGUUUAUAUAGGUUCUCCUAAGAGGUCCAAAGA